UUACGAGAAAGGAUUUCGUUUUAUAAAACUGAAAAAACAAGCGACUUAGCUAAGUUAGACUAAAAAGACUAACGUUAGUUAACAGCAGCCAGGUUUGUACCACCAUUAAGCUACUGUGGUGGGCGUGUACGAACAGCUCGCUGCUAGCUAAAAUGAAAUAACGUUAGUGAGUACAGUAAGCUGACUUUUAUUAUGUGGCUGUUACUUUGUAGCAUAGAGUCUGUUGAGCUUCACGCGAAAUUAACCCGUUUUUGCGAGUCUUUACAGAGAAAGCCCUACACAGCAUUAGAGCUAGCUAGUUAAUCUUUAAGUUAUCAAUAGCUAAGACACACGAGACAGUGACUUUAACGGACAACGGUGAUUCAGCGUGCUAGCUAGAGAGACAAUCCUUGAAAGCCUCAACAUCCAUAACGUAACAUUCAUUGAUGUUAACGUCCAUCAUUUCAUGUAUAUCGUUUUCGGAUCUCGCAAGUGUUAUUAAUAGCUGGGCUUCUCUCUACCAAGAUGUAUGUGAUGUCGGGAUGACAGGAAGAUGGCAAACGGGGUUGGAAAACACAAGCUGCUUGUCAUUGGACCAACAGAGCCAUGGUCAGUGAGGGAGAAGCUGUGUUUGGCCACAUCUGUCAUGAAGAGCGGAGACCAGAACUGGGUAUCUGUCAGUCGAGCCAUCAAACCAUUUGCAGAACCUGGGAGACCACCUGACUGGUUCUCUCAAAAGCACUGUGCCUCCAAGUACUCUGAGCUCCUGGAAACAACAGAGGCCCCAAAGCGGAAGCGUGGUGAGAAAGGUGAAGUGGUGGAGACAGUGGAGGAUGUGAUAGUACGCAGGCUGACGGCUGACAGGAUUGAUGAACUAAAAAAGUUGAUCAAAGAAACACAGGAGAAGCACAGGAAGCUCAAGAAAGAAGCUGAACUGAUUCAAGCAGGACAUCUAGAUUCCAAACUAGAAGAGUUAUGGGAAGAAAUUCUGCUGAAGAAGAAACUGGAAGAAGAAGCAGAGUUGAAAAGAAAAAAUGCAGAUUCUUCUUAUCAGGCCAGACAGGUGGCAAAGAACACACCAAAGCGAGUGCUCGGCAUCAACAUGCAUUCGUCCUCAGGCUGUAGCUCCCCAAGCCAUGAGUUCUCACCAGGUGACGCACUUGAAUGCUUGACACUGGAUCUGGUAUCGACAAAGAAUGCUUCAGGAUCUGCCAGAUUAAUGACAAUUCCUGAAUCUUCUGGACCUGGGAAUGAUGACAUCAGUCAGAGCUCACUUCUGGAUGACCCCACCCAAAAGAAGCUCCUGGGACAGAAAUCCACACCACCGCCAUCUCCACUCCUGUCGGAGUUACUGAAGAAAGGCAGUAUGUUGGCCACAAAUUCCAGACUGAUUGGGGAGGGUGACGUGCCCACUGGUAAUAUGACAGGAGCACAUGACCUGCAGCUGGCUCCGCCUGGUCAACUACUCUCUCAGGCAACAGGUGCCCCGAUGUUGUCUCGUCUCCUGGAGGCAGGUCCUACCCAGUUUUCUGCCCCUUUAGGUUUCAUGGUCAGUGCAGACUCAGCCUCCAUUGCUCCACUCUCUGCUGCCACUCCUGCUCCUUCUGACUCUACUGCUUCAGCAAGUACAGAAGUGGAUGUGAUGUCUGUGCCCCCUGGAUGCCAGCCUGUCCCUGCAGAGGAUAAGGUGUCACAGCUCAGUGAGGAGGAUGUGACUGCGUCCUACAUGGCAGAUGAGCUGGAUCUGAAGACAGUGGGGGACAUUAUCGCCAUCAUUGAGGACAAGGCAGACGAGACUGCAGAGGCUUUGGAUGCAGCUGCAGUUGAGGCUGCUCUGUCACUGUGUGAGGAGAACGGCCAUGCUUUGUCUGGUGCCUGGGAGUCUGGGCCUUUCCAGCACCACGAGUCUCACCCCACAGGGCCCUCAGAGGUCCCACAGUCCUCAUCUCUGCUCAGUAGCCUGGAGGGGAAGGCAGAAGUGUUACAAGUUCAGGGUGGGACUUCAGCUUCACUCUCCUCUCUGCGCAGCAGUCGUGAUAACUGUCUCGCAGCAUUCCCCCGGGGACUAAGGAGCCUUCCACCCACCUCCUCGUCCUCAUGCAAUUCAAAGAGUUUUGAGCACUGUCACACUGGAGCACUUCCACAGCCUGAGGCAAUGAGAGAGACUGGAGAGAGGGUGCACCAAAAAAGUCAAAUUUCAUUGGAUGUUACCAUAAAAUGCGACAGUGAGAAGUGGGCACAGCAAAGACUUGAUAAACCCCAUGAAGACUCAGUAUUAGAAGAUAGCCCACUGACAGAAAGGCAUCCCAAGGACAUGAAGGCGGAGGAUGGAACAAGUGUUCGGCGAGGACAGAAUGCCUCGGGGACUAGAGUGCACCCUGAGGUCAACGGGCUGGAAGUGUGUGGAGAAGAAGAGGGCGAUGGGGUGGAGGGAUUCUUGUCCGAGCCAGACGGGGAGAUGGAGCUAGAACCCGCGGCAAGCGAGAGUGAAGAUGGAUACAGCCUCCACACGGCUUCCUCGUCUCUGCAGCUUCACACAACCGCUGACUCCAUCCCCAGCAGCCCUGCCUCAUCCCAGUUUUCUGUGUGCAGUGAGGACCUGGAAGCUUUACAGGCUCACAAGAUCUGGAAGAAAGCCAUUAUGCUCGUCUGGCGUGCAGCGGCCAAUCACAGGUAUGCAAAUGUCUUCCUGCAGCCAGUAACAGAUGAAAUUGCACCUGGAUACCAUGGUAUUGUUCACAGGCCCAUGGACCUGGCCACCAUAAAAAAGAACAUUGAGACUGGUUUGAUACGGACCACCGCCGAGUUCCAGAGGGACAUCAUGCUGAUGUUUCAGAAUGCGGUCAUGUACAACAGCCUGGAUCAUGACGUGUACCACAUGGCUCUGGAGAUGCAGCGUGAUGUCCUGGAGCAGAUCCAGCAAUUUCUAGCCACCCAGCUCAUCAUGGAGACAUCAGAGUCUGGUAUCAGCGCCAAGAGCCUGAGGGGCCGUGAGAGCACACGCAAACAGGACUCUACUGACAAGGUGCUUCACUAGAAUUUUGACAAAAGCAGAGAGUACAGAAGAAGAGACAAGGGACACUGUCUCCAUGUCCUCUCCUGCCUUCCUCCUUUCUCUUUUUGAUGGAGGCACCAGAGGGCGCCGUUGUGCCAUAGAAGCUGACCUCAAGAUGAAGAAAUGAACAUGCAGAAUGAAACAUUAGUCCGACAGUGUCCCCUAGUUGAAGUGAAAGGUGUGACACCAGAAGACUGAACUUAGCUCUCUUGUCACUUGCACAGUUUCUCCCUCUGCAUAAUGUGCAGUAAAAUAACCUUUACUUGCACUCUACAUUAAAUGGGUAGACUAAUAUGGAGAAGCUAAUUUCUUCUGAGACAGCCGUGCAGAUAUGGAUUACAUACCGCAUAAUCCUAGAUUACAGUGUGGCAUUCAGAAAGACUAGGUCAAACAGGCUGAAAUGAAGCCUGCAAGGGGGGUCCUGGUUGAACUUCAGAACCAGAGUCUGAUUAUACAGAAUUAAAUAGAAUUUCUGAAUGAUCAUGGGGGAUAUACUAAUUUCAAAACAAACAUUUUCAUUGCUGGUAUAAAAUCAGUUGGGUUUUUUUUUCCAUUAAAAAAAAUUUCUGAUCAUUUUUAAAUAUGGAUGUAUGGUUUGUGAUGACUUUUUAUCUCUGCUACACUUCCUGUGAAACAGUAACUACAGGCAUAUUCUGAGUCAUCAAUAUUUUUGAGACGUCACGUCAAUAAACUGUUUUGUGGACUUUAAAAUGUUUAAACAAUAAAACUUCAUAACUUCAUAAAGAGCUCUUAAACCAAAUAUGUUAAGAUUGAAUUUGCUGAAAACCUUUUCACGAUACCAGCACAGACACACACCACAGCAGUAACCAGGCCAGUUGCUACUGUUGAAGUGCUCCUCCGCUUUCACAGAUCUAACCCUUGCUGUUUAAGAGCCGUUUAAUCAAAAAUGUUUGCAAGGGUUGUUUGCAAAAAUCAGUGAGAGUAGGUUUAAAUUGUUGUUUUUAAAUAUAAGUCUGCUUUGCCCAACCCAUGACAGUGAAGUUAGAUGUACUGUAUGUCAGUAGGGAAAUGCAGUCAAAUUUGUUCAGGACUGUAUUUAAGCAGCAGAGGCCACAUGGCACGAAGCUGCUGAUGAUGGAUGAAGGAUUUUGCGUUUGGCUUUUGUUAAAGUCACGUUCAGUGUGUAAAAUAGUCUGACCAAUAAAACUUAUUCAGUUUUUAUUGAACCAGAGCCAACUCGUAUACAUGAUGCCACAAACGUCUUAGAUCAACUCAUAAUUUCAAAGAAGCAGAUCACGUUUAGGCCACAAUGCAAAUGUACAGAAACACGAAAGCCUUUCGGCACACUUUACUGUAUAUGUGAUGUUUUUCUAAAAUCAGUAGCAAGCGGCACAGUACGUACAUUUGGUGAAAGUAAAGCUUUUGUGAUUAUUUUAUGUGAUUUAAUUAAAGUAUUUAAAUACAAAUAA